rnacentral:rRNA from 1 species
AUGUUGAUGCAAGACUACUUCGCUGAGAAUCCAACAUAUCCACCGCACCUCUUUCGGAGAAGGUAUCGAAUGCGUCGAUCCCUCUUUGUGAAAAUUGUUCAAGCUUGCGAAGCAAAUUGUCGGUAUUUUACUCAAAACAGAAAUGUCGCGGGCUUGAAGGGAUUUAGUGCAUAUCAAAAAAUCUCGACAGCUAUGCGUGUGAUUGCAUAUGGUGUUCCGGCUGACUAUGCCGAUGAGUACCUUCGCAUUGGUGAAGAUACCACAAUUGAGUCAGUGCGUAGGUUCGCCAAAGUGAUCAUCCGUGUCUUUGGUCCUGAAUAUCUUCGGGCACCCAACGAGGAUAACACAAAGAAAUUGAUGUCAUCUAAUGAGAGAAGAGGUUGGUGUGGCAUGCUAGGCAGCAUUGGACUUGGAAAAAUUGCCCGAAGGCAUGGCAGGGAAUGUAUCGUGGCAAGUCUCGUGAUGCAACAAUUGUGCUAG